CCUGCACCUGCCGGCGACCGGCGCACGGGUGAGUAACACGUAUGGAACCUGCCCGCCACAGGGGGAUAACCCGGGGAAACCCGGCCUAAUACCCCAUGCCGCCCGGACCGGGCAUCCGGACCGGGCGAAAGGAGGAAUCCGGUGGCGGCUGGGCAUGCGGCGCAUUAGCUUGACGGCGGGGUAACGGCCCACCGUGGCGACGAUGCGUAGGGGUUCUGAGAGGAAGGUCCCCCACACUGGUACUGAGACACGGACCAGACUCCUACGGAAGGCAGCAG
rnacentral:rRNA from 1 species